rnacentral:rRNA from 1 species
UACGUAGGCGGUUUAUUAAGUCAAAUGUGAAAGCCCCGGGCUUAACCUGGGAACUGCAUUUGAUACUGGUAAACUAGAGUAUGGUAGAGGGGGGUAGAAUUCCUAGUGUAGCGGUGAAAUGCGUAGAUAUUAGGAGGAAUACCAGUGGCGAAGGCGGCCCCCUGGACCAAUACUGACGCUGAGGUACGAAAGCGUGGGUAGCGAACA